AACGAACGCUGGCGGCAUGCCUAACACAUGCAAGUCGAACGAGACCUUCGGGUCUAGUGGCGCACGGGUGCGUAACGCGUGGGAACCUGCCUUUAGGUUCGGAAUAACUCCCCGAAAGGGGUGCUAAUACCGGAUAAUGUCUUCGGACCAAAGAUUUAUCGCCUUUAGAUGGGCCCGCGUAAGAUUAGGUAGUUGGUGGGGUAAAGGCCUACCAAGCCGACGAUCUUUAGCUGGUCUGAGAGGAUGAUCAGCCACACUGGGACUGAGACACGGCCCAGACUCCUACGGGAGGCAGCAGUGGGGAACAUUGGACAAUGGGCGAAAGCCUGAUCCAGCAAUGCCGCGUGAGUGAUGAAGGCCUUAGGGUUGUAAAGCUCUUUUACCAGGGAUGAUAAUGACAGUACCUGGAGAAUAAGCUCCGGCUAACUCCGUGCCAGCAGCCGCGGUAAUACGGAGGGAGCUAGCGUUGUUCGGAAUUACUGGGCGUAAAGCGCACGUAGGCGGCGAUUC
rnacentral:rRNA from 1 species